rnacentral:rRNA from 1 species
GAUCAGGGCUCGGAUUGAACGCUGGCGGCAGGCCUAACACAUGCAAGUCGAACGGUAACAGGAAGCAGCUUGCUGCUUUGCUGACGAGUGGCGGACGGGUGAGUAAUGUCUGGGAAACUGCCCGAUGGAGGGGGAUAACUACUGGAAACGGUAGCUAAUACCGCAUAACGUCGCAAGACCAAAGAGGGGGACCUUAGGGCCUCUUGCCAUCGGAUGUGCCCAGAUGGGAUUAGCUAGUAGGUGGGGUAAAGG